GAUUCAAGGAGGGGAAGGAAGGUUUUAAGUCAUCAAGAAGAAGUGCAUACUCUGAAAUUGCUUCAUAACCAUCAUCUGCAGUGGAGAUUUGCAAAUGCAAAGGCAGAGGCCUCCAUUCAUGCCCAGAGAUGGGAAACUGAGAGAAAACUUUAUUCUCUUGGAGUUGAGAUAUCAAGUCUGCGCGAUACUGUGAAAAGGAAUCGCAUUGAACUUGGAUUGU